rnacentral:rRNA from 1 species
AUUGAACGCUGGCGGAAUGCUUUACACAUGCAAGUCGAACGGCAGCACGGACUUCGGUCUGGUGGCGAGUGGCGAACGGGUGAGUAAUGUAUCGGAACGUGCCCAGUCGUGGGGGAUAACGUAGUGAGAAUUACGCUAAUACCGCAUACGAUCUAUGGAUGAAAGCGGGGGAUCGCAAGACCUCGCGCGAUUGGAGCGGCCGAUAUCAGAUUAGGUAGUUGGUGGGGUAAAGGCCCACCAAGCCAACGAUCUGUAGCUGGGCUGAGAGGACGACCAGCCACACUGGAACUGGGACACGGUCCAGACUCCUACGGAAGGCAGCAGCGGGGAAUUUUGGACAAUGGGCGGAAGCCUGAUCCAGCCAUUCCGCGUGCAGGAUGAAGGCCCUCGGGUUGUAAACUGCUUUUGUACAGAACGAAAAGGUUUCUACUAAUACUAGGAGCUCAUGACGGUACUGUAAGAAUAAGCACCGGCUAACUACGUGCCAGCCGCCGCCGUAA